UACGUAGGGUGCAAGCGUUAAUCGGAAUUACUGGGCGUAAAGCGUGCGCAGGCGGCUUUGCAAGACAGAUGUGAAAUCCCCGGGCUUAACCUGGGAACUGCAUUUGUGACUGCAUGGCUGGAGUGCGGCAGAGGGGGAUGGAAUUCCGCGUGUAGCAGUGAAAUGCGUAGAUAUGCGGAGGAACACCGAUGGCGAAGGCAAUCCCCUGGGCCUGCACUGACGCUCAUGCACGAAAGCGUGGGGAGCAAACAGGAUUAGAUACCCCGUGUCAGCACGA
rnacentral:rRNA from 1 species